rnacentral:rRNA from 1 species
GCGACCUACCCAUGAGCAGGAUGAAGCGAAAGUAAAAUUUCGUGGAGGUCCGAACCCACGAGCGUUGAAAAGCUCGGGGAUGACUUGUGGGUAGCGGUGAAAUUCCAAUCGAGCCCGGAGAUAGCUGGUUCUCCCCGAAAUAGCUUUAGGGCUAGCCUCAAGGUGAGAGAUACGGAGGUAGAGCACUGAAUGUCCUAGGGGGUAUUGCACCUACCGAAGACUAUCAAACUCCGAAUGCCGUCAUCUUAUACUUGGGAGUCAGACUGUGGGUGAUAAGAUUCAUAGUCGAAAGGGCAACAGCCCAGAUCGUCAGCUAAGGUCCCUAAAUGUAAGUUAAGUGGUAAAGGAUGUGGGAUUGCACAGACAACCAGGAUGUUGGCUUAGAAGCAGCCACUCAUUCAAAGAGUGCGUAAUAGCUCACUGGUCGAGUGAUCCUGCGCCGAAGAUUUCCGGGGCUAAAACUUACUACCGAAGCUACGGCAUCAGUAAUGAUGGGUAGGGGAGCUUCCCAUACGGGUUGAAGCAUGACCGUAAGGACAUGUGGACAGUAUGGGAGUGAGAAUGUUGGCAUGAGUAGCGAGAUGUGGGUGAGAAUCCCACAGGCCGUAAACCCAAGGUUUCCAGGGGAAGGUUCGUCCGCCCUGGGUUAGUCGGGACCUAAGCUGAGGCCGAAAGGCGUAGGUGAUGGACAACAGGUUGAUAUUCCUGUACUACCGAUAACCGUUUGAGAGA